UACAGAGGUCUCAAGCGUUGUUCGGAUUCAUUGGGCGUAAAGGGUGCGUAGGUGGCGCUGUAAGUCGGGUGUGAAAUUUCGGAGCUUAACUCCGAAACUGCAUUCGAUACUGCGGUGCUUGAGGACUGGAGAGGAGACUGGAAUUCAUGGUGUAGCAGUGAAAUGCGUAGAGAUCAUGAGGAAGACCAGUGGCGAAGGCGGGUCUCUGGA
rnacentral:rRNA from 1 species